rnacentral:tRNA from 1 species
GGUUAGCUCAGUUGGUAGAGCGCUCCACCUGUAAUGGAGAGGUCCCGGGUUCGAUACCCGGACCAGGCG